UACAGAGGGUGCGAGCGUUAUCCGGAAUUACUGGGUUUAAAGGGUGCGUAGGCGGCCAGGUAAGUCAGGAGUGAAAGUUUGCGGCUCAACCGUAAAAUUGCUUUUGAUACUGCCAGGCUAGAAUUAGGAUGAGGUCAGCGGAAUGUGGCAUGUAGCGGUGAAAUGCAUAGAUAUGCCAUAGAACACCAAUUGCGAAGGCAGCUGGCUAGACCUGGAUUGACGCUGAGGCACGAAAGCGUGGGGAGCGAACAGG
rnacentral:rRNA from 1 species